AUGAACGCUGGCGGCGUGCCUAAUACAUGCCAGUCGAGCGCACAGAUGAGGAGCUUGCUCCUCUGACGUUAGCGGCGGACGGGUGAGUAACACGUGGAUAACCUACCUAUAAGACUGGGAUAACUUCGGGAAACCGGAGCUAAUACCGGAUAAUAUAUUGAACCGCAUGGUUCAAUAGUGAAAGACGGUUUUGCUGUCACUUAUAGAUGGAUCCGCGCCGCAUUAGCUAGUUGGUAAGGUAACGGCUUACCAAGGCAACGAUGCGUAGCCGACCUGAGAGGGUGAUCGGCCACACUGGAACUGAGACACGGUCCAGACUCCUACGGGAGGCAGCAGUAGGGAAUCUUCCGCAAUGGGCGAAAGCCUGACGGAGCAACGCCGCGUGAGUGAUGAAGGUCUUCGGAUCGUAAAACUCUGUUAUUAGGGAAGAACAAAUGUGUAAGUAACUAUGCACGUCUUGACGGUACCUAAUCAGAAAGCCACGGCUAACUACGUG
rnacentral:rRNA from 1 species